AGUGUUUGUGCUGCUGUGGCGGCAAUUCCCCCUGCAAAAUAUUCACUUAUAUGAGUUGGCAGAGCAGGUUCUCUACUUAAAAGCUGAUGAGUUCCAUCUCACUUUGCUGUUGCGUGUCAAAGUCUCCUUGGAUGAUAUAAUCACAAAACUGCUCAAUCCUGCAGUAUGCUGUCCCCACACAAAUGAUGGGGAAAAUGAUUUUAUGCAUGAAUAUCUGUAGUUAUGAACUGAUGUGUAGUUACAGCUUCAUGCUCUCUUACACAGGGUGGAUUGAUUUCACUCAGUUACACCUAGUAAGUUAUGAGGCUAUGGAUUGGUCACUAGCCUGAGUUCACUAGCCUCAUUUCAGAGUAAAAUUCUGACUGGUGCAUCCCAACCAUUUGUUCUAUUGAGGGAACAGAGGUUCACUGCAUUGAAGA